rnacentral:rRNA from 1 species
UACGAAGGGGGCUAGCGUUGCUCGGAAUCACUGGGCGUCACGCGCCCGUCGGCUGGUCCUUAAUUCAUUUGUUAAAUCCCGGAGCUCAACUCCGGAACUGCCUUUGAUACUGGGGAUCUUGAGUCCGGAAGAGGUGAGUGGAACUCCGAGUGUAGAGGUGAAAUUCGUAGAUAUUGGGAAGAACACCGAUGGCGAAGGCAGCCAUCUGGACCGACACUGACGCUGAGGCGCGAAAGCGUGGGGAGCAAACAGG